UACGUAGGGGGCAAGCGUUAUCCGGAUUUACUGGGUGUAAAGGGAGCGUAGACGGCAGCGCAAGUCUGAAGUGAAAUGCCGGGGCCCAACCCCGGAACUGCUUUGGAAACUGUGCAGCUGGAGUGCAGGAGAGGUAAGUGGAAUUCCUAGUGUAGCGGUGAAAUGCGUAGAUAUUAGGAGGAACACCGGUGGCGAAGGCGGCCUGCUGGACUGUAACUGACGUUGAGGCUCGAAAGCGUGGGUAUCGA
rnacentral:rRNA from 1 species